UGGGGAAUAUUGGACAAUGGGCGAAAGCCUGAUCCAGCCAUGCCGCGUGUGUGAAGAAGGUCUUCGGAUUGUAAAGCACUUUAAGUUGGGAGGAAGGGCAGUAAGCGAAUACCUUGCUGUUUUGACGUUACCGACAGAAUAAGCACCGGCUAACUCUGUGCCAGCAGCCGCGGUAAUACAGAGGGUGCAAGCGUUAAUCGGAAUUACUGGGCGUAAAGCGCGCGUAGGUGUUCGUUAAGUUGAAUGUGAAAGCCCCGGGCUCAACCUGGGAACUGCAUCCAAAACUGGCGAGCUAGAGUAGGGCAGAGGGUGGUGGAAUUUCCUGUGUAGCGGUGAAAUGCGUAGAUAUAGGAAGGAACACCAGUGGCGAAGGCGACCACCUGGGCUCAUACUGACACUGAGGUGCGAAAGCGUGGGGAGCAAACAGG
rnacentral:rRNA from 1 species